UUUCCUCAAAUCGUUGAGCAUCUUGGUUUUAGUAGGUUUUGGCAGCGUUAAUCGAUUAGAUUAACCAGGACUAACACUUGUAGCUGGUUAAGUUUGCAGUUUGCUUCUAUCAUAAACGAGCUCCUUCCAGAAUGUUCUAAAUUAGCAACAAGUAGCCAUGGGCUAGCUUACAGGCUGCUAAUAGCCAAUGAAGCUGUCUUUCGUGAUAGCUGAGCUGAGGUUAUGGAACCUCUUUAAGGUUUUUUUCUUAAUAUAAAAGUAGAAUGGCUUCUUCAAACUUUUCAACGACUUUUAAACUCUGACUCGACUUUUAAAGCGACCUUCCCCAGCGUUUUCUUCUCAGCUCUCCUGGGUGCAGUAUUUCAGGAUGUGGCCUUGUAUUGCUGUCGUCCUGCUGUGGAUCCGGUCAGCAGGAGGCACAGAAAAGGCCAAUACGUCGAACCAUAUUGAAUACACAGCUGCCGAUUUCUACGAAAGGCUGCUGUCCGGGAAGAUGAUGUUCCUCUAUUUUGAGCAACAAGUGUCUCCCACCGUCUCUCUGUUCUUGUUGGAGCUAGAGAAGUCAGCCGAAGCUCUGCGGGAUUAUGGAAUACAAGUCGGCAAGGUGA